UCCCACAUGCACACCUUCCCUGGCUCUUGCUCGAUGCCAGACUUACUCUCUUGCUCCUUUCCCCUCAGUUGGCCUAGUUGCUAAAACCAUGAACUAUCUUGGAGGCAGGGUUCUUACGCAAGCAGUUUGGGAUUUGUUGACUAAUUCAGAAAAAUCAGCUGCCCAGUGUCAGCUGUUAAGGGAAUACAGUGAAUGAGACAGGUGAAGAGAGAUGAUUACAUCUGCAUUAGAGCUGGAUCAGAGAGAGGCCCCAGAGUGGAGCCUCGGAGGAGGGGCCCAUAAGCCACACUUAGGGCAGGAGUCCCCCUUGGACCCCAAGCUAGGCUCCAUCGCACGGCCUCAUCUUAAAUCAAGUACAUGUAGAUGACACACAGCUCAUCUGCCAGAUUGGUCCUGAGCUGAAAACAAUGCCUGAAGAACCAAACUCUUGUGAAACUGAAAGCUUUUAUCAGCAACAGGAUCCCAGAUUUGAUAUCCUCGGAGAAAUAUUUUCAAGACCAUGGGGAAUGGCUGGCAGUGUAAUUAGCAGUGAGUGGAGCACCUUCAGCCUCAAGGGAGGAGAGAGCUUGGGCUCCAGAUGCUGUGGGCCCAGAAUGGGGCAGACACUUCACAAGGCUUGGUCCUCUGCAAAUUGCAUACUCAAAGACCUUUUAUAUUUUAAUUUUCAUAGUCCCAGAAGAUGCCGGAUCAGAGUUCCUUGAUAUGAUUUUAAAAAAAGGUUUUCAAAAGAAGAGUGUAAGGAAUGGAAUUGUCUCCCUGCCCCCAAAUUCAUAUGCUCAAGUCCUAACUCAACCUACCUCCACAGCACUUCAGAACACGACCUUAUUUAGAGAGAGGAUCUUUACAGAUGUAAUCAAGCUAAAAUGAGGGUGGUCCCUAACCCAACAGGACUAGUGUCCUUCUGAGAAAAGGAAAUUUGGACACAGACAGACAUAGAGGGACGAUAAUGUGAAGAAACAUGGAGAGAAGACAGCCAACCACAAGCCAAGGAGAGAGGCCUGGAACACACCUUCCCUUAACCCCUUGGAAGGAAGCAAUGCCACAACACCUUUGUUCUGAAGUUCUAGCUUCUGGAACGGAGGCAACGCAUUUCUGUUAAGUCGUCCAGUCUGCGGAACCUUGUUACAGCACUUCUAGGAAACUAAUACAGAGAAUUCAUAACAACUCUCUUUAGAUCAAGAAAGAAGGGCUUCAUCCAUGUCUUCUAAUCAUUGAGAGUUUUGUCAUUCUGUGAGGUUGGUGAAGAAGCCGGAAACUCCCUCCCUCCUGGAGAAGCUGGAAGAAGUCAAGCAGUUCCCAUCCCGUCCGCCGGCAGCCAGGGCUCCGACCUGCAUGGUGGGCGCAGUCGUUCAGAUGCCUCGGUCUGGAACUCUAAAUCUAGAGCAAGUGACACAAAGACAGGGGGAUGGCCGAGAUGAUCCCAGCCGCAGUCUGAGUGGCAGCAGCAGUGCCAGCCCCCGGUCACAAUCCGACGGUUCCUGGGGCGAGGCCAGGCUGUGUUCUCAGCUGCCCAGUCUACAUCCGUUCCUGCCCAUUUUCCACACCUGCUUCUUUAACCUUCCUGUCGAUUCUGUAAGCCACCCAAUAGCCUUUCAGUAACUUCCUAUUUUCUUUAAGUCAACCAGAGUUGGUGCCCCUUUAUUUGUAACCAAGAACUCCGACCAGAACUAAUCACGGCAAAUUACUGAGCAGCUAUGAGCCGGGAAUUAUCCUAAGCCUUUACGUGGGGUAUCUCGCUUAAACUUCCUACAACCCUAGGAGAAUGGAACAUGUUAUUCCCAUUUGACAAAUGAGAACACUGAGGCUGGCUAAGGUUAACUAACGUAUUCAAGGUCAACACUUAGGACAGAGGCGAGUGUCAAGAUCAGAUCAGAGAGACUCUUCCUCCUACUCAGCUCCCAAGCAUCUGUGGAUCAGUUUACUAGUUACUCAAAGUAUCUAUAGCUUGUCCCAGGUAAUCCUCACAAGUCCUUCGGGUUGGAAUUUUUAAUUCCAAUUUUACAAAUGAGGAAACCGAGACUCAGAAGCAUUAAAAGUGACUUGCUCAAAUAUUUAUCGUAAGCUUUGAAACUGCACAUCCUCUUUGAUCCAACAAUUCCAGGUCCGAGCACUUAUCCCAAAGAAAUAAUCAGAGGCGUGACCAGAGAUCAUUCAUUGGGUUGUCGUUUAUUACAGGGAAAAAUUAAACACCGUCCUUAAGGUCCAACAGUCAGGCAACAGCCAAACAAAUUAGGGCAUCCCAUAUGAUGGAACCUUACGUGGUCAUUAAAAAUCAGGCUGUAGAAGCAAAUGAGGAGUUGUCUAGGCCUGAGGGUAACAUCAGGGUUGACUUCAAAAGGGUGUUCAGGAACUAUUGAGAGUGAUGGAAAUGUUUCAAAUCUCGACUAUGGUAAUGGUUACACAAGUGUACGCAGUUGUCAAAACUCACCAAACUACACACUUAAAAUGGGGGCAUUUAUUGUACAUGAACUAUACCUCAACAAUUAAAAAAAAUCCUGUAGAAACCAUUUUAUCAAAGAUAAUAUUCACAAAAUAUUAAGUGAAAGAUUACAAUAAAUAAUUAUAGUAUAUUUA